GUCCUCAUAGCUCAGUUGGAUAGAGCAAUCGCCUCCUAAGCGAUGGGUCGGAAGUUCAAAUCUUCUUGGGGACGCCA
rnacentral:tRNA from 1 species